UGGGGGAUAUUGCGCAAUGGGGGAAACCCUGACGCAGCAACGCCGCGUGAAUGAGGAAGGCCUUCGGGUUGUAAAAUUCUGUCGGGUGGGAAGAAAUGUACUAGGUCCAAUAGGCUCAGUGUUUGACGGUACCACCAAAGGAAGCACCGGCUAACUUCGUGCCAGCAGCCGCGGUAAUACGAAGGGUGCAAGCGUUGUUCGGAUUUACUGGGCGUAAAGCGCGCGCAGGCGGACAGGUAAGUCAGAUGUGAAAUCUCGGGGCUCAACCCCGAAACUGCGUCUGAAACUGCCAGUCUAGGAUCUCGGAGGGGGAAGUAGAAUUUCGCAUGUAGGGGUAAAAUCCGUAGAGAUGCGAAGGAACAUCAGAGGCGAAGGCGACUUCCUGGAAGAGUAUCGACGCUGAGGCGCAAAAGCGUGGGGAGCAAACAGG
rnacentral:rRNA from 1 species